rnacentral:rRNA from 1 species
AAAUCCUUGAUGUGCCAUCGAGGAUAACGUAAGGGAAAAUAAUGAUAUUACCUUACUAUUAGUGUCGUCCAAGUGCUCGUGCCAGAAGACUCGGUAAGGCGAGAGACGCAAACGUUAUUCGUCUUGAUCAGGCGUAAAGGGUUUGUAGGCGGCUUUAAGUAUCUAAUUUUAAGUUUACUGUUUUAAUGCUAAUUAAUAGGAUUUAUUUAAUUUAGCAUUUUAAUAUUUAUUAAAGGAUCAAUUAAAGCUAGAAUCUAGCAGAGGUUAAAACAAUACUUAAGGUAGGAGUACUAACCAUAAAUAAUAAGCAGAGUUUUAAGGGCGAAGGCUUUUAUCCACUACAGAUUGACGCUGAGAAACGAAGGUGAGGACAGAAAAAAGGAUUAGAUACCCUUGUAUCCCUCACUGUCAACGAUGAAUGGUAGUUACUAGGGAGAAAUGACCUAGAGACGAUGUUAACACGAAAACCAUUCCGCCUUGUGAGUACGACUGCAAAGUUGAAAACAAAAAAAUUAGUCGGUUUCG